rnacentral:rRNA from 1 species
UUGGAGGGCAAGUCUGGUGCCAGCAGCCGCGGUAAUUCCAGCUCCAAUAGCGUAUAUUAAAGUUGUUGCAGUUAAAAAGCUCGUAGUUGAAUUUCGAGACCGGCUUACUGGUCGUGCUAUUGUACGUACUGGUAUAAUCGGUUUCCCCUUUCUGACGAACUUUAAUGCCAUUAAUUUGGUGUUUUAGGGAAUCAGGACUGUUACUUUGAAAAAAUUAGAGUGUUUAAAGCAGGCUCACGCUUGAAUACAUUAGCAUGGAAUAACGGAAUAGGACGUUUGAUUCUAUUUUGUUGGUUUCUAGGAUCGACGUAAUGAUUAAUAGGGAUAGUUGGGGGCAUUAGUAUUCAAUUGUCAGAGGUGAAAUUCUUGGAUUUAUUGAAGACUAACUACUGCGAAAGCAUUUGCCAAGGAUGUUUUCAUUAAUCAAGAACGAAAGUUAGGGGAUCGAAGACGAUCAGAUACCGUCGUAGUCUUAACCAUAAACUAUGCCGACUAGGGAUCGGAUGAUGUUAAUUUUUUAAUGACUCAUUCGGCGCCUUACGGGAAAC